AAACCCGGUGCCGGAGAUGGCCGAACUGGGGCGGAGAUGGCCGAGCCCAGACGGAGAUGGCCGAGCCCAGACGGAGAUGGCCGAGCCUAGACGGAGAUGGCCGAGCUAGAACGGAGAUGGCCGAGCAGAGGCGGAGAUGAUCGAGCGAGGACGGAGAUGGACGAGCGUGUGAAGGCCGGUGGAGCCCGGCAGGGCCUGUGGCUCGUCCCUCAGAGCGCCCAUGGAAUGCAGAACUCGCACUUGGUGCCACAGAAGGGGCUCUGGGGAUCCCCAGGCUCAGCCACGAUAGCACAAAAUCGCAGGAUUGUGUGGGUCGAGAAAGACCUCACAGAUCAUGGAGUCCAACCUGUGACCGACCGAUCGCCACCGUGUCACUCGACCAGGCACUGAGUGCCACGUCCAGUCGGUCCUUGGACAUCUCCGAGCAUGGGAACUCUGCCAGCUCCCUGGGCAGCCCCUUCCAAUGUUUAACAACCCAUUCUGUGAAGAAAUUCCUCAUGAUGGCCUCGUAUCCAGGAGUAAAACUGGCAGAGCCGGGUGUCAGUACAAGGCAGGUAAUUUGCCAGUUACAACCUGGAUGUGUUUGAGAGUGCGAUAUCUGGCACACAGAGCUUUAGCAAAAGAAUGGAAUAAAGAUGCACAAGUAAACCUCAAUUUAUUAAAUAUACUGACCUAUCAAUAGCCA